ACCAGAAGAUCCUCAUAGUCUGUUGCCUUGCUUCCUGGAUUCUCAACAGUGCCCCCACACCCUCCCAUUCCUAACCAAUCCCUGACCACCUCAGCCUCCACCUCUAUGAUAGGAUAUGUCAAUCCCCAUCUAAUUUAUAGAAUAUUUUGGAGGUAACUAUAUACGACAGCAGGGGUGAUAACAUCUCCAGGCUCCUGUGAGGGACAGGAACUCUGCAGUAUGUACUUAAUAACAUGAACUGCUGAAAAGGGACCCGGGCCGGCGCUUUGGCAGAGGAGCUAGCUGGUAGAUAGAGAGUAGAGAAGGAGAACCCAGUGUUCUCAGGCGGGGGGUAAUUGAGACCAUGUGAGCCCCCCAACCCCCAUGUCCACUGGACUGGAUUAGAGAAGAAAUGGAACCUUCUCAGCCCGAGAUGACUUUCAAUUAGAUGCGCCCAGAGCAAACGUACAAGGCCAACAGAGAGGCCUCAUCAUGGAAAGUACAAGAAGAAAAGCGUAUGAUGCAGCUUUGAAGUUGAAAACCAUCGAUCUGUCCAUCCAGGAGGGAAAUCGAGCUGCUGCAUGUAAGCUUGGCAUUAACGAAUCGAUGGUGAGGCGUUGGAGACGGCAGCGUGAAGAACUGAUGCAAUGCCCAAAGACAACAAAGGCUUUCAGAGGUCAUAAGAGUAGAUGGCCCAAACUUGAAAAUGUUCUUGAGGACUGGGUUAACACACUGAGAGCAGACGGCCAAGGUGUAUCCACCGUGCAGAUUCGACUGAAAGCUAAAACAAAAUCGCCAGCGAAAUGUGUGUUGAAGGUUUUCAAGGUGGACCGUCAUCGUGUUCUCGAUUCAUGAGACAUAAAGGUUUGUCCAUCAGGCCGUGGACGACUGUCUGUCAGCAACUCCCUCCCGACUACGAGGAAAAAGUUGCAAACUUCCACAAAUUCAUUGCAACAAAAAUAGGAUUCCAUCGGACCAUGAAGUGCCUUUGACGUUCGACCUGCCUCUAACUCGAACGUUUAACAAGACAGGACUGUUAUCCAUUAUGAUGAAAACAACUAACCACAAGAGAACGCAUUUCACGUGUGUUUUGAGCUGCACCGCUUCCAGACAAAAGCUUCCACCAAUGGUGAUUUUUAAGCGGACAACUAUGCCAAAAGAAAAAUUCCUAAAAGGCAUAGUCGUUAAAGUUAAAAAAAAAAAAAGGGUGGAUGAUAGAAAGCUUAAUGACUGAAUGGCUGACGAAGUGUUACAGUAGGCGUACGGGAGCAUAUUUUUAACCGGAAAAAAAGCAUUGCUUGUUUUGGACAGUAUGAGGGCCCAUAUAACAGAUUCUGUGAAAACAGCCAUCAGGAGAUCAAACUCAAUUCCAGCUGUGAUUCCUGGAGGCACAACAAAGUUUUUGCAGCCACUGGACAUCAGUGUGAAUCGUGCUUUUAAAGUGGUACUCCGAGAUUUUGAAAGGCUGGACUGCUAUGUGAUGAGAACAGCACAACUUCAGCGGUAACUGUGUCUCGAGAUGAAAAUGACAUUGAGAGCGACACAGAGACUGAAAUGGUGUGUGACACAGACGUUUUGAGGCUCUUCAACUCAGACACUGAAGAAGACGACUUCAGUGGUUUCAGUGAACAGGAUGAGGAGGACUUUUCUGUUAUGUGUGAGCCGUUUUACUGCCAUGUUACAGGCACUGUUUGGAAACAAGCUCGCCCAUGGCACACUAGUGUGCCACGGCGCACUGGUUGGGAAUCACUGCACUCGAGGCAUGUGGCAGGGAAUCAGGCCAAUGACCUACCACAUGACUCACACUAACAGCACCGGGGUCCAAGACGGUAUCCUGCCAGACAACCUCAACAGCUUCUACGCCAGAUUUGAACAGCACAACAGAGACAUUCCCUUAAAGGCCACCUGCAAGAGGAGACUGCACUGCAGGAGAUAAACACACAGCUCCUCAGAGUCCUGAGGCAGAGCUCACAGUCAGUACGGGAACCCCGCAGGGACGCUGCCUCAGCCCUAAACUGUGCACCCCCCAUGACAAUAAAACAUUAUUAUUAAGUAUACAGACGACACAACCGUCCUCGACCUCAUUAGAGGAGGGGAUGAGUGCGUACAGGAACCUGGUUCACAGAAUCACUAUCUAUGGAAAGGACUAUUACCUUGCCCUCAAUGCUGACAAAACAAAAUAAUUUAUAGUAGAUUACAGGAGAAGAGCCCCCCCCUUGCAGCCUCUCACCACCAAUGGGACCAAUGGGAGUGAUAGCCACAAGUUCCUUGGCCUCCAUAUCACAGAGAGUCCAGUGGGUGGACUGAGACACUGAACAAUUAACCCCAAUUGGACAAUUUACACGCAAUAGAUGCAAUACUUGUAACCACGUUUGGUCAUACCAAGCACAUGGUGUUCAUAUGCUAUAUCCGUCUGACACUAU